rnacentral:rRNA from 1 species
AUUGAACGCUGGCGGCAGGCCUAACACAUGCAAGUCGAACGAGUGGCGGACGGGUGAGUAAUGUCUGGGAAACUGCCUGAUGGAGGGGGAUAACUACUGGAAACGGUAGCUAAUACCGCAUACCAUCGGAUGUGCCCAGAUGGGAUUAGCUAGUAGGUGGGGUAAAGGCUCACCUAGGCGACGAUCCCUAGCUGGUCUGAGAGGAUGACCAGCCACACUGGAACUGAUACACGGUCCAGACUCCUACGGGAGGGAGCAGGGAGGAAUAUUGCGCAAUGGGGGCAAACCUGAUGCAGCCAUACCGGGUGUAUGAAGAAGGCCUUCGGGUUGUAAAAUACUUUCAGCGGGAAGGCGUUACCCGCAGAAGAAGCACCGGCUAACUCCGUGCCAGCGGCCGCAGUAAUUC